UACGGGGGGUGCGAGCGUUGUCCGGAAUCACUGGGCGUAAAGGGCGCGUAGGUGGCCUGAUAAGGGUGUGGUGAAAGUCCGGGGCUCAACCCCGGAUCUGCCGUGCCGACUGUUGGGCUGGAGUACUGUAGGGGCAGGCGGAAUUCCGGGUGUAGCGGUGGAAUGCGUAGAGAUCCGGAGGAAGACCGGUGGCGAAGGCGGCCUGCUGGGCAGUUUUGCUGACACUGAGGCACGAAAGCUAGGGUAGCGAACGGG
rnacentral:rRNA from 1 species